AUUGAACGCUAGCGGGAUGCCUUACACAUGCAAGUCGAACGAGUUGCGAACGGGUGAGUAACGCGUGGUAACCUGCCUCAUAGCGGGGGAUAACUAUUGGAAACGAUAGCUAAUACCGCAUACUGUGAGAUGGACCUGCGUUGUAUUAGCUAGUUGGUGAGGUAAAGGCUCACCAAGGCGACGAUACAUAGCCGACCUGAGAGGGUGAUCGGCCACACUGGGACUGAGACACGGCCCAGACUCCUACGGGAGGCAGCAGUAGGGAAUAUUGCACAAUGGGCGCAAGCCUGAUGCAGCCAUGCCGCGUGUAUGAAGAAGGCCUUCGGGUUGUAAAGUACUUUCAGCGGGGAGGCGUUACCCGCAGAAGAAGCACCGGCUAACUCCGUGCCAGCAGCCGCGGUAAUAC
rnacentral:rRNA from 1 species